UACAGAGGUCCCAAGCGUUGUUCGGAUUCACUGGGCGUAAAGGGUGCGCAGGCGGCCGAGUGUGUGAGGCGUGAAAGCCCGGGGCUUAACCCCGGAAUUGCACCUCAAACUACACGGCUAGAGCAUUGGAGAGGGUAGCGGAAUUCACGGUGUAGCAGUGAAAUGCGUAGAUAUCGUGAGGAACACCAGAGGCGAAGGCGGCUACCUGGACAAUUGCUGACGCUCAGGCACGAAAGCGUGGGGAGCAAAAGGG
rnacentral:rRNA from 1 species